AGUGAACGCUGGCGGUAUGCCUAACACAUGCAAGUCGAACGGCAGCACAGUAAGGGCUUGCGCUGACGGGUGGCGGGUGGCGGACGGGUUAGGAAUACAUCGGAAUCUACUUUUUCGCUGGGGAUAACGUAGGGAAACUUACGCUAAUACCGCAUACUGCCUACGGGUGAAAUCAGGGGCUCUUCGGACCUUGCGCGAUUGUAUGAGCCGAUGUCGGAUUAGCUAGUUGGCGGGGUAAAGGCCCACCAAGGCGACGAUCCGUAGCUGGUCUGAGAGGACGAUCAGCCACACUGGAACUGAGACACGGUCCAGACUCCUACGGGAGGCAGCAGUGGGGAAUAUUGGACAAUGGGCGCAAGCCUGAUCCAGCCAUACCGCGUGGGUGAAGAAGGCCUUCGGGUUGUAAAGCCCUUUUGUUGGGAAAGAAAAGCAGCAGGUUAAUACCCCGCUGUUCUGACGGUACCCAAAGAAUAAGCACCGGCUAACUUCGUG
rnacentral:rRNA from 1 species